UGGUAAGAUGGCGGACGAGCAGCUGCAGCA
rnacentral:piRNA from 1 species